GGCGGCGAACUAGGUUUCGGUGAGAGAUCUCUUCCCCUAUUCACAGGACUUAGCGUUUCUCGCCGUUUCCAGAAGGUUCGAUCAGCGGUGGCAGGUUCGACGGAUCCGAAGCCCGAUCGCCGUGGCUCGGUGAUCUCCGAGGUUCAGGAGACUGCCGCCGAGGUGCACAGUUUUUCCCUCGGGUAAAGAAGAAGAAGAUUUGAGAGGGCUGUUAGCGCGCAUUUUAGAGUUGACAGCAUUGGCGACUUACCGAAGCUGGUGGAAGACAUUAUUCAGACGUCAAUAAAGACAGGACCUAGGGGUGCAAUAAGAUUAGCUCAAGGCGUACAAGCUGUUAUUGGGGUCGGUGGGGAGUGGCUUAGUGACUUGUCAAAGGUAUUGGUAUAUUGUUACUAAUUGUUAUAGACAGUUUUUAAUUUUGGGAGUAGUUCAACUUUCCUUUCAGACUAUUGAACCAAGAAUUAUUUAUAUGUUGUAGUUAGUAUAAUUAUGCUCAGCUUCCUAUGUCAGGUUCUGUAAAACUUAGUAUAGUUUAACACUUUGUUGAUGUACUUUGCACGAUUGAUAUGUAAAUUAUAUGGCUCAUAUAAGUUGGAAAGCUUAUCUUUACGAACUAGAACCUGACAUAUAAUGAGGUACUCUUACCACUUUACCAUACUUAUUCUGUAACAUAGCAGAAAACUUAAAGGACCUAACCUUUCCACUAGUCUAAUGAAGAAUUACAUUAGGCUUUGUGAAGUGUCUAUGAUUUAACAACAUUUGUAAAAUCACUAACUGAAUAAAUUUAAAAAUGCCAAAGUUAAAUGAUAGAAAGUUGUAUAUCUGCUAAAUCAUGGUUUGACAUAUAAUACCAGUUUGCCUAAUUCAUGGGAUGAAAUAUAUUUUAUCACAAAAGUCAAGGUCCAUUAAGUAGACAAUACUACAGAACUCUAGAGUUGUAUUAAGGCUUUUUAGGUGAGGGUGAGGGUGAGUGUGGGGGUGAUGGUGAGGUUGAGGUUGAGG